AUGGUGGGUACAAUUGUUCUGGCGACACCACACUUCUGCUUCGGGGUACUGAGACGUUCUCUAAUACAAGAAGAUGGCAUCUACACAAUUAAGUGUGAUGGGCAAAGUAUUGAGAUUAAAGCCGAGGAUUUUGUUUCAUCACAUCAUGGUUUUUUUGCUGGGUUCUAUAUUUAUCACAACAAGUUACCAUAUGAUAUCAAGAAUGUGGCUGCAGUUGAAUUUGGUGAAGAGGUUAAAUUGUUUGAUGUGGUUAACCUUUGUGACAUUACAGUUGGACGCUAUAAGAUGUUCAUUGACAUCACAGAUGGUCAUGUCAUGGAUGUAAGAGUAGGAGACUUUGUCCAUAAUUGUGCUCAUAGCUUGCACACUGCCAAUGGUUCACCCGUUUUUUCUAAAGACGGUGAACUUGUUGGCGUAUGUAUUUUGAACCGACAAGGCCCAUCCGUGGCUCUAGACGCGGCGAGAAUAAAAGCCGAGCUGAUGAUGAUACAUGAAUCCAAGACACUCAAGGAGUUUUUUGGAGUAGUACGGGAAUCAGCAGGAAUUGCCGAGGCAUCAGCUGCAGCCACGGUACAGCCUGGAGCGCAAUAA
rnacentral:rRNA from 1 species